rnacentral:rRNA from 1 species
GACGAACGCUGGCGGUGUGCCUCACACAUGCAAGUCGAGCGGAUUUACUUAGGAGCUUGCUCUUAAGUAAGUUAGCGGCGGACGGGUGAGUAAUGCGUAGGAAUCUACCCUAAGGUAGGGGAUAACGGGCUGAAAGGUCCGCUAAUACCCCAUAUGCGGGUUCUCUUCGGAGGAUUCGUGAAAGGAGCAAUUCGCCUUUGGGAUGAGCCUGCGUCCGAUUAGCUAGUUGGUAAGGUAAAGCUACCAAGGCUUCGAUCGGUAGUUGGUCUGAGAGGAUGAUCAGCCACAAUGGGACUGAGACACGGCCCAUACUCCUACGGGAGGCAGCAGUGGGGAAUUUUACGCAAUGGGCGAAAGCCUAGACGUAGCGACACCGCGUGAGCGAAGAAG